UAGAAAUAGAGCUUUCUACGACACACAUUCUAAGACGGUUAUCUGGGACCGUCUUAGAAUGUGGCGCGGUGACAAACUUGUAAUUAAGAUACUCGAAAUUUCUUUUUACAACACACAUUUUAAGACGGUUGUCAAUAACCGCCUUAGAAUAUACUUAGGUGGCAAUUUUGUAAUUAUUGACAAAAACAACAAGGACGGGUUUAAGAGAAAACCGCCUUCGUUUCGUUUCUAGGAAUUAAUUACCAUGUGUGCAGGGCCAGCUUGACGUUCAGCCUUCUUCCUCUCACACACACUCUCUCUACUAAAGUCGCAAACACAAACACUUUGUGAAGUGAAGCAAUGGAGUUUCAGAUUUAGAUCUCGUGCUAAAUCAUCGAUCCGAGAGAGAGAAAGAGAGAGGUGUUGGAUUAUUGAUUCGCCGAAGCAUUUGAGGGUUUAUCACACACCAUUCUCAAACCCUUCGUCAAUCAGACGAAAACCAAAAAAUGCAAACUUCUUCGUCAAUCUCCACAACAUGACCAGCAGUGUGAUUCUCAGAAGAUCCUCUUCCGUAAUCUCGCGCCGCUUCUUCGCCGCUCUUGCCUCCAUCGAGCCGCUUCCUCACAGGUUCCCCGCCGACAAGUAUGGUGUCUCCGACGACGGAUCCCGAACCAUUCACACGAAGCCCGGACCGUUGAAUUUCCACGCGUCGGCGGUUCCUCGUGCGGCGCAGUUCGCCGUCUAGCGCGAUUACUCUAACUACGAGGAGGUUAGCGGCGCGAAUAGUGACGAAGGACUAGAGAUUGCGAAUCUUGGGAUGGAUACGUAGAUCGUAGAUGCUCUGGCCAAGAAAGGGAUUGCAAAGCUCUUCCCCAUUCAGGGGACAGAGAUGGUUAUAUGAGUGAUCCUGGGCAUGAUCUAAAUGAAAGGGGUUCUGUUUCUUCCUUAAAUGCACAUAGGGAGUCUGUUUUUGGUAAGCUUCAAAGGAUAAAUAAAUUGUUCCUAUCUGUGUUUGAAAUUAGUUUCCCUGAGGUUGGAUUUAUGAACAGCUUAAUUGGAAAUGAUCGAAGCUCAAUUUGAUGUUUGGCUUAGGCAAAGCCCUCAGUGAUUUGGAAAUCCAGUACACCUCUGUUUCAAAUUCUUGUUAAAUCAGUCUUAUAUGUGAAUAAUAUCAAGACAACACUCAUUAAUUGACUAUUCUGCACACACGAGAUAUUCUGCAUUACCUAUCUAUUUGUAUUGAAUAUACUCUUAGUUUGUAAUAUGUCACUUCCCUUGAAACAAUCAUACUAGUUUCUAUUCCUGUUCCAUCUUUUUCAAUGUUCUUGUUUGCUAUUUUAUUAUGUUUAAUGAUGCUGUUAUGAAGUAUAUGUCAGAGCUUUUACAAGAAAGGAAGCUCAGAAGCUGUAAUGUCCUAAAAGUUAUGGACGAAGCAAAUUAAAUUUUGAGGUGAUGUCUUUUUAAAAUUAAUAUUUCAUUUCAUUUGUAGUAUUACUUUUAUUUGUGCGUGCUUUCUUUUCCCAUCUUCAUGUGUGCUUUCUUUUAUUUGUGAGAAAGAUGAAGGAGUAUGAUAUUGAUGGCACAUGAGGUUGGCCUCUAUGUCUGGCUUUGCUUCUGCUCUAUUCGGGAUUCUAGAGAAAGUGCAUUGGUGUUUAUGCUGUACUGGACACACCGCAGAAACAAUAAAUAAAUAAUGGGUGCCCUCUAGGGACUGGGAAGACUCAGACCAUACUUGGGAUUCUAAGUACACCAUUUUGCAUGCUACUCCUACAAGAAUGCAUUCAAAGGGAGUUGUACUUGCCUGCAGCCCAAUAGAUGCAGCCUUGGUGGCUACUGCAGGCGGUGAUGACAGACGAUUUCUCAGGAAGAUUGGCCAAGGGGAUUGGGCUUUUGAGCUUCAAGGAGGCUGGUAAGAAGUCCCUGGAAAAAGCUACUGAGCGUGUGAGAUGCCUUGAGGAUGAUUUAGCAAAGUCUAGGUAAGGUUUCAAAUUUGCUAUAUUUUCAGAAAAAUAUUGCAUCGGUGUUCAUAAUUUUUUUAGAAACAUGAUUGCUAUAAGUAAUUCUAGAUUUCUUAUAAAUACUACCAUCAUGAUCACACUCAGCCUUUAAACUACAUUAUUUUGCCAUAUUUUAUGAAUUGGGGGGAAAAUUUUCAUGAAAACAAAUUUUUAAGAACAAAAUUUGCUACAUUGUAAAACUUUAAGAGUAAAAAAUACAGUUAAUUUUUUUUUUCGUUCAUGACUUAAUGUAACACCCUAAAUUUUUCUUCUCACUUAUCUCAUUCUUAGAAUCAUCGAUUUGUUUCAUCGAAUUAGGUGGAUGUGAAUGGUGACAUUGCUAACUUGGCACUCUACUGCACAUCCAUGUCAGCAUUUCUAUUAAAUAUUGAAUGUUAAUUUAACGAAU